GACGAACGCUGGCGGCGUGCUUAACGCAUGCAAGUCGAACGGUGACCUCGAGAGCUUGCUCUCGAGUGAUCAGUGGCGAACGGGUGAGUAACACGUGAGUAACCUACCCCUGACUCUGGAAUAACAAUUGGAAACAGUUGCUAAUACCGGAUACGACACGAGCGGGCAUCCGCAUCGUGUGGAAAGUUUUUUCGGUCUGGGAUGGACUCGCGGCCUAUCAGCUUGUUGGUGAGGUAACGGCUCACCAAGGCGACGACGGGUAGCCGGCCUGAGGGGGCGACCGGCCACACUGGGACUGGGACACGGCCCAGACUCCUACGGGAGGCAGCAGUGGGGAAUAUUGCACAAUGGGCGAAAGCCUGAUGCAGCGACGCCGCGUGAGGGAUGACGGCCUUCGGGUUGUAAACCUCUUUCAGUAGGGAAGAAGCGAAAGUGACGGUACCUACAGAAGAAGCACCGGCUAACUCCGUGCCAGCAGCCGCCGCAG
rnacentral:rRNA from 1 species